GCGCCGCCAACAAGGAGGAUUGGAACAAGUUCCUUAUGGCCGUGAAGACCAGUCACAGCCCAGAGUGCCAGGAUGUGCUGCAGUUCAUUGGCCGAUGGUGCGGGGGCCUCCCCAGCUCCACCUUCUCCUUCCAGUGACAUCACCGAUUGAUCUCCCUGUCUGUUAUCUGUAUAAUAAAGUUUGUUUAUAAAUACCC